rnacentral:rRNA from 1 species
GACGAACGCUGGCGGCGUGCUUAACACAUGCAAGUCGAGCGGAAAGGCCACUUCGGUGGUACUCGAGCGGCGAACGGGUGAGUAACACGUGAGUAAUCUGCCCUUCACUCAUGGAUAACCACCGGAAACGGUGGCUAAUACAUGAUACGACAUUCGCCCGCAUGGGCUGGGUGUGGAAAGUUUUUUCGGUGGAGGAUGUGCUCGCGGCCUAUCAGCUUGUUGGUGGGGUAAUGGCCUACCAAGGCUUCGA